rnacentral:rRNA from 1 species
AUGGCGACUUGCAUUCGUAAGGUGGCCUCGGAGGAGCUUGGAGUGUCCAGGGGAAGGAGAAGCGAAGAUAAGGAUACCUGGUGGUGGAAUGAUGAUGUCCAGAAGGCGAUUAAAGAGAAGAAAGAUUGCUUCAAAUGCCUAUACCUGGAUAGGAGUGCAGACAACAUAGAGAAGUACAAGAUGGCGAAGAAGACCGCAAAGCGAGCUGUUGGUGAAGCAAGGGGUCGGGUAUAUGAGGACCUCUACCAACGGUUAGGCACGAAGGAAGGUGAAAGGGACAUCUAUAAGAUGGCCAAGAUCCGAGAGAGGAAGACGAGGGAUAUUGGCCAAGUCAAAUGCAUCAAGGACGGAGCAGGCCAACUCUUGGUGAAGGACGAGGAGAUUAAGCAUAGAUGGCGGGAGUACUUCGACAAGCUAUUCAAUGGGGAGAAUGAGAGUUCUACCAUUGAACUGGACGACUCCUUUGAUGAGACCAGCAUGCGUUUUGUGCGGCGAAUCCAGGUGUCUGAGGUCAAGGAGGCUUUAAAAAGGAUGAAAGGAGGCAAGGCAAUGGGCCCUGAUUGUAUCCCCAUUGAGGUGUGGAAAGGUCUCGGGGACAUAGCGAUAGUAUGGCUAACCAAGCUUUUCAACCUCAUUUUUCGGGCAAACAAGAUACCAGAAGAAUGGAGACGGAGUAUAUUAGUACCAAUCUUCAAGAACAAGGGGGAUGUUCAGAGUUGUACUAAUUACCGUGGAAUUAAGCUGAUGAGCCAUACAAUGAAGCUAUGGGAGAGAGUCAUUGAGCACCGCUUAAGAAGAAUGACAAGCGUGACCAAAAAUCAGUUUGGUUUCAUGCUUGGGAGGUCGACCAUGGAAGCCAUUUUCUUGGUACGACAACUUAUGGAGAGAUAUAGGGAGCAAAAGAAGGACUUGCAUAUGGUGUUCAUUGACUUGGAGAAGGCCUAUGAUAAGAUACCGCGGAAUGUCAUGUGGUGGGCCUUGGAGAAACACAAAGUCCCAGCAAAGUACAUUACCCUCAUCAAGGACAUGUACGAUAAUGUUGUGACAAGUGUUCGAACAAGUGAUGUCGACACUGAUGACUUCCCGAUUAAGAUAGGACUGCAUCAGGGAUCAGCUUUGAGCCCUUAUCUUUUUGCAUUGGUGAUGGAUGAGGUCACAAGGGAUAUACAAGGAGAUAUCCCAUGGUGUAUGCUCUUUGUGGAUGAUGUGGUGCUAGUUGACGAUAGUCGGACGGGGGUAAAUAGGAAGUUAGAGUUAUGGAGUCAAACCUUGGAAUCGAAAGGGUUUAGGCUUAGUAGAACUAAAACCGAGUACAUGAUGUGCGGUUUCAGUACUACUAGGUGUGAGGAGGAGGUUAGCCUUGAUGGCCAGGUGGUACCUCAGAAGGACACCUUUCGGUAUUUGGGGUCAAUGCUGCAGGAGGAUGGGGGUAUUGAUGAAGAUGUGAACCAUCGAAUCAAAGCCGGAUGGAUGAAGUGGCGCCAAAUUUCUGGCAUUCUCUGUGACAAGAGAGUGCCACAAAAGCUAAAAGGCAAGUUCUACAGGACGGCGGUUCGACCCGCAAUGUUGUAUGGCGCUGAGUGUUGGCCGACUAAAAGGCGACAUGUUCAACAGUUAGGUGUGGCGAAGAUGCGUAUGUUGAGAUGGAUGUGUGGCUACACAAGGAAGGAUCGAGUC